CUCGCCGGCCCCGGCGCUCGGAUUCCCCGCCCCCGCCACGUGUGUUUCGGCUGUUACUGGACGCGCAUGUUUUUCCAGACUAAGUUUGUUUGCUUCCAGGAGUUACUUCCUGAGUUUUGGUUAGUUGUAAACUGCGUAGUUGGAAAAAGAACUCUUUGACGGUGAUGGGUCACGACAGGCUCAACCGGGUCUCAUCUGACAGCUGCCUUAGUGUGUAUUAGGCGGUCCUUGGAAGUUUACUUUCCUUCCUUAUGGGUGGACCUGGUCUGCGUUUUGGUUCAUCUGUAAGAUGUCAGUGGCAAUGAGGACUUCCUUCUCCACCCUCGGAAGUUCUCAGAGGAACACAGGGCGGUUCUGCUCUGCCUGGUCCCUGACGUCUUGGAUCUUCGGUUGCAAAUCUGUGUGCCUGGUACAGCAUUUGUCACAAAUGUUGGUGUCGGGGCCGGCGCUGUGGCUCAGUGGGUUAACGCCCUGUCCUGAAGCGCCGGCAUCCCAUAUGGGCGCCGUUUCUAGUCCCAGCUGCUCCACUUGCGAUCCAGCUCUCUGCUAUGGCCUGGGAGAGCAGUGGAAGAUGGCUGGGUCCCACGUGGGAGACCCAGAAGAAGCUCCUGGCCUCGGAUCGGCACAGCUCUGGCCGUUGUGGCCACCUGGGGAGUGAACCAUCAGAUGGAAGAUCUCUCUCUCUCUCUCUCUCUCUCUCUCUCUCUCUCUCUCUGUGUGUGUGUGUGUGUGUGUGUGUAACUCUUUCAAAUAAAUAAAUAAAAUCUAAAAAAAAAAAAAAAAACG